rnacentral:tRNA from 1 species
GCGCCUGUAGCUCAGCUGGAUAGAGCGUCGGCCUCCGGAGCCGAAGGUCACAGGUUCGAACCCUGUCAGGCGUACCA